rnacentral:rRNA from 1 species
UACGAGGGGUCCUAGCGUUGUUCGGAAUCAUUGGGCGUAAAGGGUGUGUAGGUGGCUAUGUAAGUCAGGUGUGAAAGCCCCGGGCUCAACCCGGGAAGUGCAUCUGAUACUGCGUAGCUUGAGUACCGAAGAGGAUAGUGGAAUUCCAGGUGUAGUGGUGAAAUACGUAGAUAUCUGGAGGAACACCGGUGGCGAAGGCGGCUAUCUGGUCGAGUACUGACACUGAGACACGAAAGCAUGGGGAGCAAACAGG